rnacentral:tRNA from 1 species
CGUGGCUUAGUGGUUAGAGUAUUCGACUCACGAUCGUAAUAUCGUAAGUUCGAUUCCCGCCG